rnacentral:rRNA from 1 species
UGGGGAAUAUUGCACAAUGGGCGAAAGCCUGAUGCAGCGACGCCGCGUGGGGGAUGAAGGCCUUCGGGUUGUAAACUUCUUUUGCUCUGAACAAGGCAUGCUAAUGGGUGUGUUGAGUGUAGGGGUUGAUUAGCGCCGGCUAACUACGUGCCAGCAGCCGCGGUAAUACGUAGGGCGCGAGCGUUGUCCGGAAUUAUUGGGCGUAAAGGGCUUGUAGGUGGCUGGUUGCGUCUGUCGUGAAAGCUCAUGGCUUAACUGUGGGUUUGCGGUGGGUACGGGCUGGCUUGAGUGCAGUAGGGGAGGCUGGAAUUCCUGGUGUAGCGGUGGAAUGCGCAGAUAUCAGGAGGAAUACCGGUGGCGAAGGCGGGUCUCUGGGCUGUUACCGACACUGAGGAGCGAAAGCAUGGGGAGCGAACAGG